CAGUAGCCGCGGGAAUACAGAGGGUGCGAGCGUUAAUCGGAUUUACUGGGCGUAAAGCGUGCGUAGGCGGCUUCUUAAGUCGGAUGUGAAAUCCCUGAGCUUAACUUAGAAAUUGCAUUCGAUACUGGGAAGCUAGAGUAUGGGAGAGGAUGGUAGAAUUCCAGGUGUAGCGGUGAAAUGCGUAGAGAUCUGGAGGAAUACCGAUGGCGAAGGCAGCCAUCUGGCCUAAUACUGACGCUGAGGUACGAAAGCAUGGGGAGCAAACAGGAUUAGAGACCCCAGUAGUACCUGUCUCUUAUAC
rnacentral:rRNA from 1 species